GGCGGCACGCCUAACACAUGCAAGUCGAACGAAGUAGCAAUACUUAGUGGCAGACGGGUGAGUAACAUGUGGGUAUCUACCCUUUGGCCUGGAAUAACACGAGGAAACUUGUGCUAAUACCGGAUAAGUCUUUACGGAGAAAGCUUUAUGCACCAUUGGAUGAGCCCGCACUUGAUUAGUUUGUUGGUAGGGUAAUGGCCUACCAAGACUAUGAUCAAUAGCUGAUUUGAGAGGAUGAUCAGCCACAUUGGGACUGAGACACGGCCCAAACUCCUACGGGAGGCAGCAGUGGGGAAUCUUGCACAAUGGAGGAAACUCUGAUGCAGCGAUGCCGCGUGAGUGAAGAAGGCCUUUGGGUUGUAAAGCUCUUUCGUCGGGGAAGAAAAUGACUGUACCCGAAUAAGAAGGUCCGGCUAACUUCGUGCCAGCAGCCGCGGUAAUACGAGGGGACCUAGCGUAGUUCGGAAUUACUGGGCUUAAAGAGUUCGUAGGUGGUUGAAAAAGUUGGUGGUGAAAUCCCAGAGCUUAACUCUGGAACUGCCAUCAAAACUUUUCAGCUAGAGUAUGAUAGAGGAAAGCAGAAUUU
rnacentral:rRNA from 1 species